rnacentral:rRNA from 1 species
GUGACUCAGCAGCCGCGGUAAUACGUAGGGGGCAAGCGUUGUCCGGAAUCACUGGGCGUAAAGCGCGUGUAGGCGGCCAGGUAAGUCAGAGGUGAAAACCGCGGCUCAAGCGCAGGCUUGCCUUUGAAACUACUUGGCUUGAGGUCAGAAGAGGAGAGUGGAAUUCCCAGUGUAGCGGUGAAAUGCGUAGAUAUUGGGAGGAACACCAGUGGCGAAGGCGGCUCUCUGGUCUGCACCUGACCUGAGGMAGAAAGCGUGGGUAGCAAACAGGAUUAGAUACCCUGGUAGUCCACGCCGUAAACGAUGGGUGCUAGGUGUUGGGGUAUGAACCCCUCAGUGCCGNUCUAACGCGAUAAGCACCCGCCUGGGAAGUACGGUC